GCCCGCUUAGCUCAGCGGUAGAGCGCGUCACUCGUAAAUGUGUGGCUAUGAUGAGGUCGGUUGUUCGAAUCAGCCAGUGGGCA
rnacentral:tRNA from 1 species